CCUACGGGAGGCAGCAGUGGGGGAUAUUGCACAAUGGGGGGAACCCUGAUGCAGCGACGCCGCGUGGGUGAAGAAGCGCCUCGGCGCGUAAAGCCCUGUCAGCAGGGAGGAAAAUGACGGUACCUGAAGAAGAAGCCCCGGCUAACUACGUGCCAGCAGCCGCGGUAAUACGUAGGGGGCAAGCGUUAUCCGGAUUUACUGGGUGUAAAGGGGGCGCAGACGGCGAUGCAAGCCAGGAGUGAAAGCCCGGGGCCCAACCCCGGGACUGCUCUUGGAACUGCGUGGCUGGAGUGGAGGAGGGGGAGGCGGAAUGCGUGGUGUAGCGGUGAAAUGCGUAGAUAUCAGGAGGAACACCGGUGGCGAAGGCGGCCUGCUGGACUACAACUGACGUUGAGGCCCGAAAGCGUGGGGAGCAAACAGGAUUAGAUACCCUUGUAGUC
rnacentral:rRNA from 1 species